rnacentral:lncRNA from 1 species
ACCAAAGCAACAAAAGUUGUUCCCUGAGUCCUUGCUUUUUACCUUACCAGUUGCUUGCCUCCAAGAAACCCACUCCACCUAAAGAGUCCUAUUCCUAUCCGGUCUACAUUCAAUAUUCUUUGCUCUACCCUCACACACCCAGGCCUAGGAGAUAAUGAGAUGGAAUUACAACAAAAGAUACACCCAUUGGCAACCACCCAUGUCCCAUCAACUGAUUGGCCCCCUAGCCAACCACUAUACAACUAAUACUUGCCUGCUUGUUUCUU